rnacentral:rRNA from 1 species
UACAGAGGGUGCGAGCGUUGUCCGGAAUCACUGGGCGUAAAGGGCGCGUAGGCGGUCGGGUAAGCGUGUGGUGAAAGCUCGGGGCUCAACCCCGAGUCGGCCGUGCGAACUGCUCGACUGGAGCAUGUCAGAGGCAGGCGGAAUUCCGGGUGUAGCGGUGGAAUGCGUAGAUAUCGGAAGGAACAUCAGUGGCGAAAGCGAACUUCCUGGACCAAUACUGACGCUCAUGUGCGAAAGCGUGGGGAGCAAACAGG